GACGAACGCUGGCGGCGUGCUUAACACAUGCAAGUCGAACGGAAAGGCCCUUCUUUUGUGGGGUGCUCGAGUGGCGAACGGGUGAGUAACACGUGAGUGACCUGCCCUGGACUUUGGGAUAACUUCAGGAAACUGGGUCUAAUACCGGAUAGGAGCUCCUGCUGCAUGGUGGGGGUUGGAAAGUUUCGGCGGUUGGGUAUGGACUCGCGGCUUAUCAUCUUGUUGGUGGGGUAGUGGCUUACCAAGGCUUUGACGGGUAGCCGGCCUGAGAGGGUGACCGGCCACAUUGGGACUGGGAUACGGCCCAAACUCCUACGGGAGGCAGCAGUGGGGAAUUUUGCACAAUGGGCGGAAGCCUGAUGCAGCAACGCCGGGUGCGGGAUGACGGCCUUCGGGUUGUAAACCGUUUUCGACUGUGACGAAGCGUGAGUGACGGUAAUGGGUAAAGAAGCACCGGCUAACUACGUG
rnacentral:rRNA from 1 species